AGCUUUGUGCAGUGGCAGUAUCGUAGCUAAUGAGGUUAAUCCGAGGUGUGAUUAUUGCUAGGGAAAUCCCUUUGCUCGCCUGUGCAGAGUCCGGUCUCAAACUUAACAGGUAAAGGCAACAUCUGGAGCCAAGCUUG